GGAGUUGUGGCUCAGUGGUAGAGCACUUGCCUAGCAUGUGUGAAGCCCUGAAUUCAAUUCUCAGCACCA
rnacentral:tRNA from 1 species